rnacentral:rRNA from 1 species
GACGUAGGGCGCGAGCGUUGUCCGGAUUUAUUGGGCGUAAAGAGCUCGUAGGCGGCUUGUCGCGUCGACCGUGAAAACUUGGGGCUCAACCCCAAGCCUGCGGUCGAUACGGGCAGGCUAGAGUUCGGUAGGGGAGACUGGAAUUCCUGGUGUAGCGGUGAAAUGCGCAGAUACCAGGAGGAACACCGGUGGCGAAGGCGGGUCUCUGGGCCGAUACUGACGCUGAGGAGCGAAAGCGUGGGGAGCGAACAGG